CGCUGUAAACGAUGAUCACUCGUAGCUGGCAAUACAUCGUCAGCGACUGAGCGAAAGCAGUAAGUGAUCCACCUGGGGAGUACGUUGGCAACGAUGAAACUCAAAGGAAUUGACGGGGGCCCGCACAAGCGGUGGAACAUGUGGUUUAAUUCGAUGAUACGCGAGGAACCUUACCUGGGCUUAAAUGUAGACUGCAUGUGGUGGAAACAUCACUUUCCUUCGGGACCGUCUACAAGGUGCUGCAUGGUUGUCGUCAGCUCGUGCCGUGAGGUGUCGGGUUAAGUCCCAUAACGAGCGCAACCCCUAUUGUUAGUUGCUAACAGGUAAUGCUGAGGACUCUAGCGAAACUGCCGGUGUAAACCGAGAGGAAGGUGGGGAUGACGUCAAAUCAGCACGGCCCUUAUGUCCAGGGCUACACACGUGUUACAAUGGUUGGUACAGAGGGCAGCUACCGGGCGACCGGAUGCUAAUCUCGAAAGCCAAUCUUAGUUCGGAUCGGAGUCUGCAACUCGACUUCGUGAAGCUGGAAUCGCUAGUAAUCGCGCAUCACCCACGGCGCGGUGAUACGUUCCCGGGCCUUGUACACACCGCCCGUCUAGCCAUGGAAGUUUGGGGUACCUGAAGUCCGUAACCGCA
rnacentral:rRNA from 1 species